AUGAUCAAACAUUUUUCUUGUCAAUCUAAGAAACCCAUCACCCUUUUUCUCCAACAAUUUUUGGAGACCUCAAUGAGAAUUUUGAGCUUCAUUAUACACCAAAUUACCUAAGUGGUAGCUCAACUUACAAGCUACACUAGAUCAAUUCAAAAGAACACCCUAGUUUUUUUUAUAUUUUUUUUAGUGCUUAAACUUUUAACCCUUUAACAUAAAAGAUCAAGGACAGUUAGGGUUUCGACCCGGACCACCAUAAUAGAAGUAGGUGCCCCAAUCACCAGCAUUACCAGUUUUGACAUUAUAACAGUUAUCUUUU
rnacentral:lncRNA from 1 species